UACGGGGGGGGCAAGCGUUGUUCGGAAUUACGGGGCGUAAAGGGUUCGUAGGUGGCCAACUAAGCCAGACGUGAAAUCCCUCAGCUUAACUGGGGAACUGCGUCUGGGACUGGAUGGCUUGAGUGCAGGAGAGGAACGCGGAAUUCCAGGUGUAGCGGUGAAAUGCGUAGAUAUCUGGAGGAACACCGGUGGCGAAGGCGGCGUUCUGGACUGCAACUGACACUGAGGAACGAAAGCCAGGGGAGCAAACGGG
rnacentral:rRNA from 1 species